CGUAGGGUGCAGGCGUUGAUCGGAAUUACUGGGCGUAAAGCGUGCGCAGGCGGUCUUUUAAGUCAGAUGUGAAAUCCCCGGGCUUAACCUGGGAACUGCGUUUGAAACUGGAAGGCUUGAGUGUGGCAGAGGGGGGUGGAAUUCCACGUGUAGCAGUGAAAUGCGUAGAGAUGUGGAGGAACACCGAUGGCGAAGGCAGCCCCCUGGGCUAACACUGACGCUCAUGCACGAAAGCGUGGGGAGCAAACAGGAUUAGAUACCCUGGUAGUCCACGCCCUAAACUAUGUCAACUGGUUGUCGGGGAAGCAAUUCCUUGGUAACGAAGCUAACGCGUGAAGUUGACCGCCUGGGGAGUACGGCCGCAAGGUUA
rnacentral:rRNA from 1 species